GACGACACAGGUCUCCGUUAAAUAGCUGGAGGCGGACCGCCGCCGCUCUCUCGGUCUUAGCGCCAUCUUCUUGGAAACCUCUGCGCCAUGAGAGCCAAGUGGAGGAAGAAGCGAAUGCGCAGGCUGAAGCGUAAAAGAAGAAAGAUGAGGCAGAGGUCCAAGUAAACCGCUAGCUUGUGCACCGGUGGAGCCACAGGAGCAGAAAUAAAGGAAAGCCAGAGGCCAGGGACGCUGGUACCAAUUGUUGGGCUGCAUGCCUACUCUCUAGAGCUUGAUUUGGAUCUAGACCAUCCAUCGCCAUCAGAUCGCAGCUACUACCUUUGAGAGACCCGCCUUGUCGAUACCAAAACCGACUCUUGGCCCUUUGCCCUGGACCUGUGACUUUUCGGGACUGUUUUCAUUUGUGGCUGAAUGUAACACGUGUACAAUAAAUCAUCUCUUCUGCUGUCUUAGCUGAAGGAAAAAAAUGG